CUUGAUUCUAAUCUAUUUGUUCUUAUAAUACAGGUCAAUUCUUAUGAUUCUGUCCAUGUUGAUUCGUUAUACCGGUCCAAGUAUUUUUUGAUCUCAACGGCCACCCUUAAUGAAGAUGUUGAGGUGGCUUUACCAACCUCCAAAAUUGAUGAUGGGCAUUUGAGCCAAUGGUCAGAAAAUCCUGAUGAUGAUGGUGCUAACACACCAAAGGAUUCAAGCACAAACGCUGAUGAGGUGCACAAAGUCACUAUUCUAAAUCUUCCUGACGAGGCUUUCCAUAUCUCUAGUGAAUUGGGCCUGUAGUUAGGCCUAUAUUACCUUGGGUAAAUGGAGAUGGUACCAUCAACAAGAUUGUUUGCAAGGGACUUGUACGCUGUGUUCGUGGCAUUGUGAUGCAGAAUCCAGGGAUAUUAGAUGAUGAUGUCAUUAUCCGGAUGAACGUAUUGAAUCCUCAGGUAUGCUUUUUUACCUUGGAUUUACUCUAUUAUUAUUAUUAUUUUUAUUAUUUUCCUAGAUUGAUAUGGGUGACUGGUUGUACAUUUCUAUAUUAAUGACAAUGAACGGCAUCAUACAAUAUUUCCUAUUUCACACUAAUGGUGCCUCUUUAGUUAAUGUUCUAAAGCUUUUAUUAUUAUUAUUAUUAUUUAAUUUUUUUUUUUUUAAAGUUGUAGUGACUGCUUUCUAUUGUUAUCCAUCAUUUUGAUGCCCUAAGGUGCCUUAUAAUUGAAUUUAAUUCUCUUCCAAAGCUGCAAGAACCUCUUAAAAUUGAUGAUUAUAGAUAAUCAUAUCAUUGCACGGAAGAUGCAUCAGACUAUGUCCGGUGAUCCCCCUACCAUAUGGGUGGUCUUCUUGGGAUAAGUUUCAAAAAACAAACCUUGACUUGCCGAUAACAUUUCUUUGUGAAUCCAAUAUGUAUUACCUUAUUGUAGAAUACACAGCCUAUUGGCACAUACUUAUUGUUGUUGGGUUUUUUUUGGAGCUGUUUCACCAUGCUUUUGAGAAGAACACUAAUGUUUGUUAUGUCGGUUAUAUGUGGUUAAAGUGUUGAAGACAUGUUCUGUAAGAUUUAGCUAAUGUAUAUUAAUGAUUGUAACUAUAUCUUGUGUUUUUGUAUUGUGAAAUUAGGUAAGCAGUCUGUUUAUUAGUAUAUUUUGUGUUCUGGAAUGUAACUCUUACUUGAAUA